rnacentral:rRNA from 1 species
GACAGAGGUGCCAAGCGUUAGGCGGAAUCACUGGGCUUAAAGCGUGUGUAGGCGGAUCGUUAAGUACCUUGUGAAAUCCCACGGCUCAACCGUGGAACUGCUGGGUAUACUGGCGAUCUUGAGCCACCUAGGGGCGAGCGGAACAAACGGUGGAGCGGUGAAAUGCGUAGAUAUCGGGAAGAACACCCGUGGCGAAGGCGGCUCUCUGGAACGAUACUGACGCUGAGACGCGAAAGCGUGGGGAGCAAACAGG